rnacentral:misc_RNA from 1 species
GAUGAAGAACGUAGCGAAAUGCGAUAAGUAUUGUGAAUUGCAGAAUCCAGUGAAUCAUCGAAUCUUUGAACGCACAUUGCGCCCUUUGGUAUUCCUUAGGGCAUGCCUGUUCGAGCGUCAUUUAAACCUUCAAGCUCAGCUUGGUGUUGGGUGACUGUCCGCUUCACCGCGGACUCGCCUCAAAAUUAUUGGCGGCCGGUACAUUGGCUCUCGAGCGCAGCAGAAACGCGUAACUCGAGGUCCUCGUGCUGGCUCCCAGAAGCUAUCUUCACAAUUUUGACCUCGGAUCAGGUAGGGAUACCCGCUGAACUUAAGCAUAUCAAUAAGCGGAGGA